rnacentral:misc_RNA from 1 species
CCUUUGAUAAAACAUAUCAGCAGUUUCAGAGACACCAUUAAUGGUGACUCCCAUCUUGGCACAAAUCUUUGAGUCUCUAAUACAAGAACUAAUCUUGCUCCAGUAACUAUCACUAGCCACACGCUCCUCCAGCCAACCUGAGUAAUCCUGCAGAUAAUAAUCCAAAUAUCCUCUGUUCGUCACCGGCCGCCCUGACCCUUUAUCUGUCACUGCAUAUGCAAAGAUGAUGAACCCUAUGAGUGCUGCGAUGAUAAAGAACAUGACAAAGAGGUAUAGCCACAUCAAGAACGUGUUCCUAUAACACGCGCCGGCGAAACCAGCUAAAGAGAUGACCAUAAUAGAGACCCCAAUGACGAUCAGUGGCCACUGCAAGAAUUUUAAGCAGUCUGUGUUGUUGGCUCUGCUGCUUAGCCAUAUCCCACCACCCAGAAUUGGUAUUGAGAGCAAGAAAGUUAAGAAGUUUAGUAAACCUAUCAAGUGAUUGCUACUUCUCAUCUCUGAAAGACAAUGGUUGUGUUUGGUUCUCUCUUUCUUUUGGUCUUCUUCUUCGUUUAUCGUUUAAGGGAAGUUAUGGUUUUGUUC